rnacentral:rRNA from 1 species
AGCAGCCGCGGUAAUUCCAGCUCCAAUAGCGUAUAUUAAAGUUGUUGCAGUUAAAAAGCUCGUAGUUGAAUUUCGGGGUCAGCAGGUUGGUCGUGCCAAUGGUAUGAACUGGCCUUGCUGAUUCCUCCCUCUUGAUGAGCCGUAAUGUCAUUAAUUUGGUGUUGCGGGGAAUCAGGACUGUUACUUUGAAAAAAUUAGAGUGUUUAAAGCAGGCAAGCGCUUGAAUACAUUAGCAUGGAAUAAUGAAAUAGGACGUUUGAUCCUAUUUUGUUGGUUUCUAGGAUUGACGUAAUGAUUAAUAGGGAUAGUUGGGGGCAUUAGUAUUCAAUUGUCAGAGGUGAAAUUCUUGGAUUUAUUGAAGACUAACUACUGCGAAAGCAUUUGCCAAGGAUGUUUUCAUUAAUCAAGAACGAAAGUUAGGGGAUCGAAGACGAUCAGAUACCGUCGUAGUCUUAACCAUAAACUAUGCCGACUAGGGAUCGGAUGAUGUUAAUUUUUUAAUGACUCA